rnacentral:rRNA from 1 species
UAAUACGGAGGGUGCAAGCGUUAAUCGGAAUUACUGGGCGUAAAGCGCGCGUAGGUGGCUUGAUAAGCCGGUUGUGAAAGCCCCGGGCUCAACGUGGGAACGGCAUCCGGAACUGUCAAGCUAGAGUGCAGGAGAGGAAGGUAGAAUUCCCGGUGUAGCGGUGAAAUGCGUAGAGAUCGGGAGGAAUACCAGUGGCGAAGGCGGCCUUCUGGACUGACACUGACACUGAGGUGCGAAAGCGUGGGUAGCAAACAGGAUUAGAUACCCUGGUAGUCCACGCCGUAAACGAUGGGCACUAGAUGUUGGGGGAUGUUGACCCCUUCAGUGCCGAAGCUAACGCAUUAAGUACCCCGCCUGGGGAGUACGGUCGCAAGGCUG